rnacentral:tRNA from 2 species
GCCCCGGUGGCGGAAUAGGCAUACGCAGCAGGUUGAGGGCCUGUGCCCGACAGGGCGUGGAGGUUCGAAUCCUCUCCGGGGCACCA